CGUAGGGUGCAAGCGUUAAUCGGAAUUACUGGGCGUAAAGCGUGCGCAGGCGGCUUUGCAAGACAGAUGUGAAAUCCCCGGGCUCAACCUGGGAACUGCAUUUGUGACUGCAUGGCUAGAGUACGGUAGAGGGGGAUGGAAUUCCGCGUGUAGCAGUGAAAUGCGUAGAUAUGCGGAGGAACACCGAUGGCGAAGGCAAUCCCCUGGACCUGUACUGACGCUCAUGCACGAAAGCGUGGGGAGCAAACAGGA
rnacentral:rRNA from 1 species